GACGAACGCUGGCGGCGUGCUUAACACAUGCAAGUCGAACGGAAAGGCCCUGCUUUUGUGGGGUGCUCGAGUGGCGAACGGGUGAGUAACACGUGAGUAACCUGCCCUUGACUUUGGGAUAACUUCAGGAAACUGGGGCUAAUACCGGAUAGGAGCUCCUGCUCCAUGGUGGGGGUUGGAAAGUUUCGGCGGUUGGGGAUGGACUCGCGGCUUAUCAGCUUGUUGGUGGGGUAGUGGCUUACCAAGGCUUUGACGGGUAGCCGGCCUGAGAGGGUGACCGGCCACAUUGGGACUGAGAUACGGCCCAGACUCCUACGGGAGGCAGCAGUGGGGAAUAUUGCACAAUGGGCGGAAGCCUGAUGCAGCAACGCCGCGUGCGGGAUGACGGCCUUCGGGUUGUAAACCGCUUUCGCCUGUGACGAAGCGUGGGUGACGGUAAUGGGUAAAGAAGCACCGGCUAACUACGUG
rnacentral:rRNA from 1 species